CAGAGUUUAACAAGAUGGACUCUAAGACAGUGCUGCUAAUUCUUACUCUCUACUGUGCAGGUGUAGAUUCUCAGACUCUGACAGAAUCUGGACCAGUGGAUAAGAGGCCUGGAGAAUCCCAUAAAUUGACCUGCACAACCUCUGGAUUCACAUUCAGCAGCUACAGUAUGGAUUGGAUCAGACAGGCACCGGGCAAAGGGCUGGAGUGGAUUGCUCACAUCUGGGGCAGUGGUAGCAACACUUACUACUCUCAGUCGGUUCAAGGCCGUUUUAUCAUCUCCAGAGACAACAGCAGACAGCAGCUGUAUCUGCAGAUGAACAAUCUGAAGACUGAAGAUUCUGCUGUUUAUUAUUGUGCUCGAGACUCACAGUGA